rnacentral:rRNA from 1 species
ACGGAGGUGGCAAGUGUUACUCGGAAUAAUUGGGUGUAAAGGGCAAGUAGGCGGUUUAAUAAGUGAGGGGUGAAAUCUCCCGGCUCAAUCGGGAAACUGCCUUUCAAACUGUUAAACUUGAGGAUGGUAGAGGAAAGCGGAAUUUCCGGUGUAAGGGUGAAAUCUUUUGAUGUCAGGAAGAACAUCAACGGCGAAGGCAGCUUUCUGAGCCAUAUCUGACGCUGAAUUGCGAAAGCUAGGGGAUCAAACAG